UGAUGCCAGGGUCAAAAGGUCUAAGCCCACAUGAGCUUGCUCAUAGGUGGGUGAAAGACCUUAGGAUCUACCCCGAUAUGAGCAUAAAAGUGGGAUGAUAAUCCCACGAUAUGCGAAUAUUGGGUAGGAUUGUGGGAGUGCGUAGCACAGAGCAAUCCGUAGGCAUCA
rnacentral:sRNA from 21 species